rnacentral:rRNA from 1 species
CAGCAGCCGCGGUAAUACGGAGGGUGCAAGCGUUAAUCGGAAUUACUGGGCGUAAAGCGCACGCAGGCGGUCUGACAAGUCAGAUGUGAAAUCCCCGGGCUUAACCUGGGAACUGCAUUUGAAACUGUUAGGCUGGAGUCUUGUAGAGGGGGGUGGAAUUCCAGGUGUAGCGGUGAAAUGCGUAGAGAUCUGGAGGAAUACCGGUGGCGAAGGCGGCCCCCUGGACAAAGACUGACGCUCAGGUGCGAAAGCGUGGGGAGCAAACAGGAUUAGAUACCCCUGUAGUCCCUGUCUCUUAUAC